rnacentral:rRNA from 2 species
UAGGGAAUUUUGCGCAAUGGACGAAAGUCUGACGCAGCAACGCCGCGUGAGGGAUGAAGGUCUUCGGAUUGUAAACCUCUGUUGAAUGGGAAAGAAAGGUAGCAAUACUUUGAUGGUACCAUUUGAGGAAGCACCGGCUAACUACGUGCCAGCAGCCGCGGUAAUACGUAGGGUGCAAGCGUUGUUCGGAAUCACUGGGCGUAAAGGGAGCGUAGGCGGGAUCGUAAGUUAGGAGUUUAAUACAUGGGCUUAACCCGUGGCUGGCUUUUAAUACUGCGGUUCUUGAGUAUGGGAGAGGGCGAUGGAAUUCCAGGUGUAGCGGUGGAAUGCGUAGAUAUCUGGAAGAACACCAGUAGCGAAGGCGGUCGCCUGGCCUAAUACUGACGCUGAUGCUCGAAAGCUAGGGGAGCAAACAGG